AAAUUAGAAUCCAAGGAAGUUAACAUGUCAUCACUUCAUUUUUUUGCGCCUGCGCAUAAAUCUGAGAAACGUGAGUUUUGUCUUCAUUGUUUAUCUAGACAUAGGAUAGGUUGUGUGAAAAUAUUACUGAUGUUUAACGUUAAAAAUGGACCAAAAGAUUAAUGCUAAACAACAUUUGACAUGUUUGAACGAACAUAAAUAGAUUAUUUACUAGUUUUUUUAGCUUUUCGGCGUGAUUUUACAGUCCCCCCACCACGUUUUGUGGGAGCAUAAUGAACGCUAAGUACUUGGUGUUAUUUGGACAUAAAUUAUGAACUUUGUCAAAAGAAACCACAUUUGUUCCGGACCUGGGAUGCCUUCCGGACCUGGGAUGCCUGCCUUCUGAUGGAGAUAAUCAAAGCCCUCUCGACUGCACUUAUUAAGCUUGUGGAUGGACAGAGAGGGUCUGGCAGCUGCCUUACGAAGGAGAGAGAGACACAUACACACACACUCACAGCUCCUAAUGAGAUGCACAGUGUCAAUGGCCCUCCCUUUCUGAAGAGGGAAGAAGAAAAGGACUCUUUCUCUCUUUCUCACCCCUCUUCCGCUUCGCUCUGUCUUCUAUUCCCUUAUCCCUCCCUCUCUCUCCAUCUCCUGCCCUACUCCCCAGCUAGCGAAGGCUUUUGUUCAGACGCCAGAUGAUAACCCAAAUGCCCCAGCGCAGCCGGCCCUUUCAGCCACAUUCACCAGUCUACCCUCAAGUCACAAGUCAUCACAACUGGGCAGCUGAAUGCAUCAUGUGACAACGGCAACCAUGGCAGGAUUUUGAUGAUGGCAGGGGUACUUGUAAUUGUUGUGGACGUUGCAAGACCGGACUGUUCCAUUAGUGAUGAAAAUAUAUACGAUUAGUUUGAUGGUUAGUGGGCCUGAGACACUUUUUUAAAGUAGAAGAUGUGUAGAGAGCAGCCUCUAAAAUACUUUUCUUUCACGGUUGAGAAAUUGAUGUAUGUCAACCUGUUCAGCACUAUGAGGACACAGAUGAACUGCGCUCAAGUUCUUAGCCUCUCUGGGAUAUGUGGGACGCUAGUUGUUAAUCCAGCCACAGUGUCUGAUUUCAAAAAGGCUUUUUUGCAAAAGCACACUAUGCGAUUAUGUUAGGUCAGCGCCUAGCCACAGAAAACCAUACAGCCAUUUUCCAAAGAAGGAGAGGUGUCACAAAAGACAGAAAUUAAAAUUAAUCACUAACCUUUGAUGAUCUUCACCGGAUGGCACUCCCAGGACUCCAUGUUAGACAAAUGUGUGUUUUGUUCGAUAAAGUUCAUCUUUAUGUCCAAAAACCUCAUUUGAAAUUGCCACAUUAUGUUCAGAAAUGCAUUGUCUUAAACAUACAUCCGGUGAAAGUGCAGAGAGCCACAUCAAAUUACAGAAAUACUCAUCAUAAACAUUGAUGAAAGAUACAAGUGUUUAACUCUUUAGGGAUAGGGGGCAGCAUUGGGAAGUUUGGAUGAAAAGAGUGCCCAGAGUAAACUGCCUGUUACUCAGGCCCAGAAGCUAGAAUAUGCAUAUAAUAGUUGUUUUUAUCAUAAAUCUUCAAUAAUAUUCCAACCGGACAAUUCCUUUGUCUUUAGAAAGGAAAGGAAACGGAGCUCGCGCUCACGGCAACACGCGAUAAACAAUUCAAGGCUUUCAGCCAGACCCCUGGUUCAAACAGCACUUAUUCGCUCCCCUUUCACAGUAGAAGCCUGAAACAACAUUCUAAAGACUGUUGACAUCUAGUGGAAGCCUUAGGAAGUGCAAUCUGGCCCCAUAGACACAGUAUAUUGGAUAGGCAAUCACUUAAAAAAAAUACAAACCUCAGAUUUUCCACUUCCUGGUUGGAUUUUUCUCAGGUUUCUGCCUGCCAUAUGAGUUCUGUUAUACUCACAGACAAUAUUUUAACAGCUUUAGAAAGUUUAGAGUGUUUUCUAUCCAAAUCUAUCUAUUAUAUGCAUAUUCUAGCUUCUGGGCCUGAGUAGCAGGCAGUUUACUCUGGGCACCUUAUUCAUCCAAGCUACUCAAUACUGCCCCAUGUUCCCAAAUUAGUUAGUUACUUUAAUAGCGCCCAAGCCCUCUGCAGGACAAGAAGAGAACUGCACGGUUGGUCUCAUUUUUAUCUCAUCCAACUCUUUAUGUACUGUACUUUAUGUAAGAUUAUAAACUGGGUGGUUCGAGCCCUGAAUGCUGAUUGUCUGAAAGCUGUGGUAUAUCAGACUGUAUACCUUUUCAUUGCUCUAAUUAUUUUGUCAACCGGUUUAUAAUAGCAAUAAGGUACCACGGGGUUUUUGACAUGUGGCCAUAUACCACACCCACUCGGGCCUUAUUGCUGAAAUAUAACCUGAU
rnacentral:lncRNA from 1 species